rnacentral:rRNA from 1 species
CAGGCUUAACACAUGCAAGUCGAGGGGCAUCAGGAAGAAAGCUUGCUUUCUUUGCUGGCGACCGGCGCACGGGUGAGUAACACGUAUCCAACCUGCCCUUUACUCGGGGAUAGCCUUUCGAAAGAAAGAUUAAUACCCGAUAGCAUAAUGAUUCCGCAUGGUUUCAUUAUUAAAGGAUUCCGGUAAAGGAUGGGGAUGCGUUCCAUUAGGUUGUUGGUGAGGUAACGGCCCACCAAGCCUUCGAUGGAUAGGGGUUCUGAGAGGAAGGUCCCCCACAUUGGAACUGAGACACGGUCCAAACUCCUACGGGAGGCAGCAGUGAGGAAUAUUGGUCAAUGGGCGCUAGCCUGAACCAGCCAAGUAGCGUGAAGGAUGAAGGCUCUAUGGGUCGUAAACUUCUUUUAUAUAAGAAUAAAGUGCAGUAUGUAUACUGUUUUGUAUGUAUUAUAUGAAUAAGGAUCGGCUAACUCCGUGCCAGCAGCCGCGGUAAUACGGAGGAUCCGAGCGUUAUCCGGAUUUAUUGGGUUUAAAGGGAGCGUAGGUGGACUGGUAAGUCAGUUGUGAAAGUUUGCGGCUCAACCGUAAAAUUGCAGUUGAUACUGUCAGUCUUGAGUACAGUAGAGGUGGGCGGAAUUCGUGGUGUAGCGGUGAAAUGCUUAGAUAUCACGAAGAACUCCGAUUGCGAAGGCAGCUCACUGGACUGCAACUGACACUGAUGCUCGAAAGUGUGGGUAUCAAACAGGAUUAGAUACCCUGGUAGUCCACACAGUAAACGAUGAAUACUCGCUGUUUGCGAUAUACAGUAAGCGGCCAAGCGAAAGCAUUAAGUAUUCCACCUGGGGAGUACGCCGGCAACGGUGAAACUCAAAGGAAUUGACGGGGGCCCGCACAAGCGGAGGAACAUGUGGUUUAAUUCGAUGAUACGCGAGGAACCUUACCCGGGCUUAAAUUGCAGUGGAAUGAUGUGGAAACAUGUCAGUGAGCAAUCACCGCUGUGAAGGUGCUGCAUGGUUGUCGUCAGCUCGUGCCGUGAGGUGUCGGCUUAAGUGCCAUAACGAGCGCAACCCUUAUCUUUAGUUACUAACAGGUUAUGCUGAGGACUCUAGAGAGACUGCCGUCGUAAGAUGUGAGGAAGGUGGGGAUGACGUCAAAUCAGCACGGCCCUUACGUCCGGGGCUACACACGUGUUACAAUGGGGGGGUACAGAAGGCAGCUAGCGGGUGACCGUAUGCUAAUCCCAAAAUCCUCUCUCAGUUCGGAUCGAAGUCUGCAACCCGACUUCGUGAAGCUGGAUUCGCUAGUAAUCGCGCAUCAGCCACGGCGCGGUGAAUACGUUCCCGGGCCUUGUACACACCGCCCGUCAAGCCAUGGGAGCCGGGGGUACCUGAAGUACGUAACCGCAAGGAUCGUCCUAGGGUAAAACUGGUGACUGG